UUAAAGAUAAAAUAUGUAGAUUUAUUAAAAACAAAUAUAUAAAAUCCUUACAUAUAAAAACACAAUAUGCUUCAUCAAGGUUCUUUCAUCAACACAACAUGUUUCGGCAGGACACAUUCAUCAGGUGCACAUUCCUUAUGUCUUUCUGUCCCUUUUUAAAUCUUUGGCACCAAAAAUGUAUUUGUGACACGCCCCCUGGGUGCGUCACGUCAUUUCCAACGAUGCGAUACACACAUUUCUGGUUUUGUCCUUGUGAAGCUGUUAAAACCUCUUAAAAUUAGAAUAGGAAAACACAUUAGAAAUAUUAAGAAUAAAGUCCCUAAUCACUCUGUAUCUGACCACUUUGCACAGUACCACAAUGGUGACCCCAAAUGUCUCAAUUUAUUGGCAUUAAAAGAGUAAAGAAACCAUGGAGAGAUGGAGAAAACUGGAGAUGGAGAUGAGGUCGAUCUUUGAAUUCAACACCCUAUCUCCAGCAGGAAUUAAUUUGCCAUCCUGAUGAAAACCCAUGUAUGGGGGCUGAAACGUCAAUAUAUUUUUUAAUGAUAUAAAUUGUUAUUUUUUUAUUUCAACUGUAUGAAGACCUUGGAGUGCGGUCAUUUUCACUUUUGUUCUGUAUCCUGUGCCUGACCAGCACCGGGCAUUUAUAUUUUCAAUCCAGAAGUGCAAGCAUUCUGUAUUUAUAUAUAUAUAGAUAUAUGUGUC